UACGUAGGGUGCGAGCGUUAAUCGGAAUUACUGGGCGUAAAGCGUGCGCAGGCGGUUCGUUAUGUCCGAUGUGAAAGCCCCCGAGCUUAACUUGGGAAUGGCAUUGGAAACUGGCGGGCUGGAGUGCGGCAGAGGGGGGUGGGAAUUCCACGUGUAGCAGUGAAAUGCGUAGAGAUGUGGAGGAACACCGAUGGCGAAGGCAGCCCCCUGGGCCGACACUGACGCUCAGGCACGAAAGCGUGGGGAGCAAACAGG
rnacentral:rRNA from 1 species